GAGUAAUGAAGCAAGGACCCUCAUGACACAUCUAUGUAGUACAAGAAGUUUGAGCAAACUCAUGAUUCUUGAUGUUCCCCUGAGCAAUAGGAGGAAGGGGCAAAUUUCUCCUUGGAACAUGGCUUGAGAGUUACUCCUCGAUGCUGCUACGGCUGAGAGCUAUACCAGCUGUAGUUUCUCUGCACAUCCCAUUGAUGUUGGUUGGCCAUCCCUGAAUGAAAAGCGAAUGUGCAGGAAA